rnacentral:rRNA from 1 species
GACGAACGCUGGCGGCGUGCCUAAUACAUGCAAGUCGAACGAACUCUGGUAUUGAUUGAUGCUUGCGUCAUGAUUUACAUUUGAGUGAGUGGCGAACUGGUGAGUAACACGUGGGAAACCUGCCCAGAAGCGGGGGAGUAACACCUGGAAACAGAUGCUAAUACCGCAUAACAACUUGGACCGCAUGGUCCGAGCUUGAAAGAUGGCUUCGGCUAU